UGCUGUAAAAUCCCACGUAUUAUCCAAUAAAAGGGCCUACGAUACAGUCAUUCGUCACUAACGGAGGAGAUAGGGAGAAAUCUGGAUAGCCAUUAACUCCAUGGCGGCGGCACGAAGGAUAGCUUCAUCCCUCCUUGCCCGCACUCUCUCGAAAGGGAGAGUGGCGGCUCCAGUGGCACGGAUUCAAGGAUUUGCAACUACUGCGGCAGCGGUCGAAGAGCCGAUCGCACCUCCUGUUCAAGUGAUCUACAAGCAACUUCUGAUCAAUGGGAAUUUUGUCGAUUCGGCAUCGGGGAAGACAUUUCCGACAUUGGACCCUAGGACUGGGGAAGUGAUUGCGCAUGUUGCGGAAGGGGAUGCUGAAGAUAUCAACCGUGCGGUUGCCGCUGCUCGCAAGGCGUUUGAUGAGGGACCAUGGCCGAGGAUGUCCGCAUAUGAGAGAUCGCGCAUUCUUAACCGAUU
rnacentral:misc_RNA from 1 species